GAUAAAGAACGUAGCGAAAUGCGAUACGUAAUGUGAAUUGCAGAUUUCAGUGAAUCAUCGAAUCUUUGAACGCACAUUGCGCCCGCUAGUAUUCUGGCGGGCAUGCCUGUUCGAGCGUCAUUUCAACCAUCAAGCCCUAGGCUUGCGUUGGAGCCCUGCGGCUGCCGCAGGCUCCCAAAUCCAGUGGCGGGCUCGUCGUCGUACCGAGUGCAGUAAACAUCCUCGCUCAGGGAACGUGACGGGUUCUUGCCGUGAAACCCCCCACAUAUCAAGGUUGACCUCGGAUCAGGUAGGAAUACCCGCUGAACUUAAGCAUAUCAAUAAGCGGAGGA
rnacentral:misc_RNA from 1 species